CGGUGAAGCCAAGCUUGCUUGGUGGAUCAGUGGCGAACGGGUGAGUAACACGUGAGCAACCUGCCCUGGACUCUGGGAUAAGCGCUGGAAACGGCGUCUAAUACUGGAUAUGAGACGUGAUCGCAUGGUCGUGUUUGGAAAGAUUUUUCGGUCUGGGAUGGGCUCGCGGCCUAUCAGCUUGUUGGUGAGGUAAUGGCUCACCAAGGCGUCGACGGGUAGCCGGCCUGAGAGGGUGACCGGCCACACUGGGACUGAGACACGGCCCAGACUCCUACGGGAGGCAGCAGUGGGGAAUAUUGCACAAUGGGCGAAAGCCUGAUGCAGCAACGCCGCGUGAGGGAUGACGGCCUUCGGGUUGUAAACCUCUUUUAGCAGGGAAGAAGCGAAAGUGACGGUACCUGCAGAAAAAGCGCCGGCUAACUACGUGCCAGCAGCCGCGGUAAUACGUAGGGCGCAAGCGUUAUCCGGAAUUAUUGGGCGUAAAGAGCUCGUAGGCGGUUUGUCGCGUCUGCUGUGAAAUCCCGAGGCUCAACCUCGGGCCUGCAGUGGGUACGGGCAGACUAGAGUGCGGUAGGGGAGAUUGGAAUUCCUGGUGUAGCGGUGGAAUGCGCAGAUAUCAGGAGGAACACCGAUGGCGAAGGCAGAUCUCUGGGCCGUAACUGACGCUGAGGAGCGAAAGGGUGGGGAGCAAACAGGCUUAGAUACCCUGGUAGUCCACCCCGUAAACGUUGGGAACUAGUUGUGGGGACCAUUCCACGGUUUCCGUGACGCAGCUAACGCAUUAAGUUCCCCGCCUGGGGAGUACGGCCGCAAGGCUAAAACUCAAAGGAAUUGACGGGGACCCGCACAAGCGGCGGAGCAUGCGGAUUAAUUCGAUGCAACGCGAAGAACCUUACCAAGGCUUGACAUAUACGAGAACGGCCCAGAAAUGGUCAACUCUUUGGACACUCGUAAACAGGUGGUGCAUGGUUGUCGUCAGCUCGUGUCGUGAGAUGUUGGGUUAAGUCCCGCAACGAGCGCAACCCUCGUUCUAUGUUGCCAGCACGUAAUGGUGGGAACUCAUGGGAUACUGCCGGGGUCAACUCGGAGGAAGGUGGGGAUGACGUCAAAUCAUCAUGCCCCUUAUGUCUUGGGCUUCACGCAUGCUACAAUGGCCGGUACAAAGGGCUGCAAUACCGUGAGGUGGAGCGAAUCCCAAAAAGCCGGUCCCAGUUCGGAUUGAGGUCUGCAACUCGACCUCAUGAAGUCGGAGUCGCUAGUAAUCGCAGAUCAGCAACGCUGCGGUGAAUACGUUCCCGGGUCUUGUACACACCGCCCGUCAAGUCAUGAAAGUCGGUAACACCUGAAGCCGGUGGCCCAACCCUUGUGGA
rnacentral:rRNA from 1 species